UUCUUUCAACAUGCAUAAUCAUCAAUGAGAAUGAUGAGGCCAGUACCAUCGUCAUGGUUGGCAAGACUACUACACAUUUCUUCUGCAACCCACCACUGCAUGUAAGAUAAAUAAUUCACAGACCAAGGCACCUUUCCACCUAUGAUGCUUGAACAAUUCAACAAGAUCAAAAUUUUCCAGCUUCGGUUUGGGACUUUUCGAUCCAUAGUCAACUGUUGCAACAUCAUCAUCACCAAGGUUUUUGAUGAAAACUUAGCUGAAGAUGUCGAUGCUCUACCUGGCCAAUAAGAAUUGCAAGGCGAAGCAGUUUCAGCCAUCGAUCCAGCAGCUCCUUCAAGCUCUGGAACAAGUCCUUGAUUGAAACCUACAAUUGUUGCGAAGAUCGCCCCACCUUGUGUUGUUACCAUUGGUUCGCUGCAGACACAUCCUUUAACAAUCCAGUCAUGUCUUGACACUUUUUUCCCCUUACAAACAAGGAGGAGGCUACUUUUCGAGGAGGCCACAACUCUUCAAAGGCCAGCUUGCUUUGUAGACACAGCAGCACAUUUUGUUAACACAGCGCCUGCAACGGUUGUUUUUUUUUCAAGACUUGUCUAGCAUCGCCCACCUACUCGGCCAAUGUCAAGUUUGCCUUUAUUGCGAUUCGCUUAUAUAUCCUUCUCUUUUAAAUUAAUGUGAUGUUUUUUUUGUUAUGGAUGAAUUGAACGAUGCAGAUAUAACAUUGAUGCAAGUUCUUCCUUUUGCUAUUAUGUUAUUGAGUGAACUUCAAAUGGCUCUUAGUGU